AUUGAACGCUGGCGGCAUGCCUAACACAUGCAAGUCGAACGAGUGGCGGACGGGUGAGUAAUGUCUGGAAAAAUGCCUGAUGGAGGGGGAUAACUACUGGAAACGGUAGCUAAUACCGCAUACCAUCAGAUGGGCCCAGAUGGGAUUAGCUUGUUGGGUGGGUAAAGGCUGACCAAGGCGACGAUCCCUAGCUGGUCUGAGAGGAUGACCAGCCACACUGGAACUGAGACACGGUCCAGACUCCUACGGGAGGCAGCAGUGGGGAAUAUUGCACAAUGGGCGAAAGCCUGAUGCAGCCAUGCCGCGUGUAUGAAGAAGGCCUUCGGGUUGUAAAGUACUUUCAGCGGGGAGGCGUUACCCGCAGAAGAAGCACCGGCUAACUCCGUGCCAGCAGCCGCGGUAAUUC
rnacentral:rRNA from 1 species